rnacentral:rRNA from 1 species
UACGGGGGGGGCAAGCGUUGUUCGGAAUUACUGGGCGUAAAGGGCGCGUAGGCGGGCGGUCAAGUCAGGGGUGAAAUCUUUCGGCCUAACCGGAAAAGGGCCUCUGAUACUGGCCGUCUCGAGGGAGGUAGGGGCAUGCGGAACUUCCGGUGGAGCGGUGAAAUGCGUAGAUAUCGGGAGGAACACCAACGGCGAAAGCACUCUGCUGGGCCGACACUGACACUGAGAGACGAAAGCUAGGGGAGCAAAUGGG